AGACGAGACUGGUGGCGAGGCGAGUUUGGUGCAUGUGGCAUGCGGUACGAUAGAGAGGCCCAUAAGCAAAAGGUUAGAGAGAGAGAACACAUAACGAUACUAGCAGGGAAGAAGGAGAACCAUGAUGUUUGCUAGGCAUGGUUCCACACAUCCAAACCUUUCUCCAGCACGAUUUUAACAUUUUCGAGCCAGAUCUAUAGCGCGGCUUGUUCUGUGAUGAUUUCUAGCCAAAACAUGUUUAGUGCGUGGGUGGUUUUGGUGGCAUGUGCUGGUUCCAAUAGCCGAGCAUGAGGUGGCAUGCGAUGCUCUAAUGGCAGCGUGUGGUGAACUAGGGACCCGUGUACGGUGGUGUGUGGCAAUUAUGGUGACUGAAAUCGUGCUACGAUAAAAUUCAAUCCCGCUUUUGUAUUCUAAUUAUUUCCAUAAGUUUCC
rnacentral:lncRNA from 1 species